GUACUUGCUUCAGCAGCACUUAUACUAAAAUUGGAACGAUACAGAAAAGAUUAGCAGGGCCCUUGCGCAAGGAUGACAUGCAAAUUCAUGAAGCAUUCCAUAUGAAA
rnacentral:snRNA from 1 species